GUUGUUCGGAUUUACUGGGCGUAAAGGGCGCGUAGGCGGCCAGCACAAGUCAGUUGUGAAAUCUCCGGGCUUAACUCGGAAAGGUCAACUGAUACUGUGCGACUAGAGUGCGGAAGGGGCAACUGGAAUUCUCGGUGUAGCGGUGAAAUGCGUAGAUAUCGAGAGGAACACCUGCGGCGAAGGCGGGUUGCUGGGCCGACACUGACGCUGAUGCGCGAAAGCCAGGGGAGCGAACGGG
rnacentral:rRNA from 1 species